GGGAGGUUGGCGGUGGACGAGUCCUUCGCCAACCGGGUCAGGUCCGGAAGGAAGCAGCCCUAACGAUUCGGAAUCGGGUUGCCGUCCAACCUCCUUUU
rnacentral:SRP_RNA from 1 species